rnacentral:tRNA from 1 species
UCUUCGCUAGUAUAUCGGUUAGUAUAACCGCCUCUCAACAGAGAGAGCCUUCAUCCAAAGGAGCAUCGCGGUAGAGCAGGGUUCAACUCCCUGGCGGAGAA